UACGAAGGGGGCGAGCGUUGUUCGGAUUUACUGGGCGUAAAGGGCGCGUAGGCGGGUGGUCAAGUCAGGGGUGAAAUCUUUCGGCUCAACCGGAAAACAGCCUCUGAUACUGACCGUCUUGAGCGAGGUAGGGGCAUGUGGAACUUCCGGUGGAGCGGUGAAAUGCGUUGAUAUCGGAAGGAACGCCGGUGGCGAAAGCGACGUGCUGGACCUCUUCUGACGCUGAGGCGCGAAAGCUAGGGGAGCGAACGGG
rnacentral:rRNA from 1 species